GACAGCUUUGCAAUUCUCCAAAUGCAUUCAGAAACCCCUCUGGCUUGGCGACUUAAUUUUGGAUGAGCUAUAGAAUCUCCUCACAUCAGGAUUAAAACGCGGGCCCACGAGCACAAACAGUCUUGCUGGGCUCACUCUUCGCGACAAACUCUCGCAGGAUUCAGAAACCAUGGGAUCCUGUUCCAGUUACUUCCACGGACAGCCUUCCUGAAGCUGCACUUGCUAACACAGCUGGAAUCAUCCCGUGUUACGUGAUCACGCCUUCGCCUCCCACCUGGAGGAGGCGCGUUCACAUUCCUUUCACUCCUCUGUUCCCUUGCUUCCAUCUGUCUCUUUGUUAGGUCAGCUGCUCACAGAAUAUUCCCAACUCUCCCCCUUUCGGAGUCAGGAUUGAACUUCAGUUGUCAACGAGAGGCCCUCCAGCAAGGCAACCAGCAACUGUCAACAUGGCGACUGUUCCGGCAGCCUGAGACAAGGAGUGCCUAUGAGGGCAGGGCGGAUGCCCCGUGUGAUGGACUCUUCUGCGGGAGAACACCAGCAGCAGGGCCCCCAUGAGGACCUGAGCAAGCAGAGCAGCCAGCAUGUGGGCAUCCGAAUGGAAAAAAACAGGGUGACCUGGAGCACUUCAGGCCGGGAGGAAAUUGGUUUCUCGCACUCCAGCUCUGUAGCUCCAACUGCACGCGAGUCUGGCAACCGUCUCCACAUCCAUCACCCUGACUGAAUUAGUUGCUGCUCUAGCUGAUAUUAAUAGUGAUGGCGCCCCGCUACAGGAAACCUUUCCUGCUUGGUUAAAAGAGGUUGCGACCCACUUGCACGUGGAUUUAAUGCAAGCGUGAAAAACCUGCACCGGGCUAUGGCUUUAAUACCAACAACUAGAGACACGGCAACACCGACGGGCAACCCGGCAGUGUGAAGUAGCAGCGAGUGAGGCUAGCACUUUUAAAACCCAGCUGCUAGCUAUUCAAAUAUUGUGAAUGAGUUUAGUGUUUGUUGGCUCCUUUUCUAACACCUAACUGAGAUCUCCUGGCACUGCAAUGGAGUGUGCAAAAAUGGAAGGAGAAUAGAGAGGAAACAGAGGCGGGGAGAGAGGAAAGGCAUUGGUUACUAAGGACCGCAGACCAGACACUACAGAGGAUGAGGAGUGCUGGCAAGCUGUCCUGAGCACUGGGAGAAUGAGGUGAGUGUUAGAGCAGUGUUUAGAAAAUAAUUUGGAGAGGGAGAGCUAGAAGGGCAAUAAACUAUGUGUAAAGUGACCGCUUACUGGUGGG
rnacentral:lncRNA from 1 species